GAUGCUAAUCCUUUGGAAAGCAGCAUUUAUUACCUACCUGGCCAGUGUAAAGUGCUGCAUUCUAAAGGGAUUAUCUUC